AUGUGCCGUCAUACAGCAUGCCGACAUAGGAGCUACGGAUAUGAAUUGGGCAUGUACACGAGGAGCAAUGUCGUGUUCCUCGGACAGAGGAGCAACACCAUGCAUCGUCACCUAGCUACAUCGUCGUGUUUCUCGGACAGAGGAGCAAUGUCAGCUAGGCGUGUGUUGCGAGUUGGAUGUCCGUCCUGCCGAUACCAUGUGCAGGACUGGAGUAGUUGCCAGGCUCUCGUCUUGUACAUGUGGCAGGCGGUGGCAACAUUCCAGGUCACGCUACGGAUACUAACAGCCCAAGAUGACAACUAA
rnacentral:rRNA from 1 species